rnacentral:rRNA from 1 species
UGAAACUGCGAAUGGCUCAUUAAAUCAGUCAUAAUUUACUUGAUAGUACCUUUACCUGGAUAACCGUGGUAAUUCUAGAGCUAAUACAUGCUAAAAACCUCGACUUCGGAAGGGGUGUAUUUAUUAGAUAAAAAACCAAUGCCCUUCGGGGCUCCUUGGUGAUUCAUAAUAACUUAACGAAUCGCAUGGCCUUGCGCCGGCGAUGGUUCAUUCAAAUUUCUGCCCUAUCAACUUUCGAUGGUACAGUAGUGGUCUACCAUGGUUUUAACGGGUAACGGGGAAUUAGGGUUCUAUUCCGGAGAGGGAGCCUGAGAAACGGCUACCACAUCCAAGGAAGGCAGCAGGCGCGCAAAUUACCCAAUCCCAAUUCGGGGAGGUAGUGACAAUAAAUACUG